CCCCGUUGCAUGUGCGGGUUAUCACAUGCACCUCCCUGUUGGACUGGCCCGGGCUCUGCCCGGGCCUUUUUU
rnacentral:ncRNA from 1 species